AUGUCCGAACCUGAGUUGCAGCUGGUGGCACAGCGCAUCCGCAGCUUCCCUGACUUCCCCAUCCUGGGGGUGUUGUUCAGGGAUAUCUCGCCACUCUUGAAAGACCCGGACUCCUUCCGAGCUUCCAUCCGCCUCCUGGCCAGUCACCUUAAUUAAGUCCAUGCGCGGCGGCAAGAUCGACUACAUUGCAGGUCUAGACUCCAGGGGCUUGCUGUUGGGCUGUGUGCUCAUCCAGAAAUGAGGGAAGCUGCCCAGCCCCACUGUGUCAGCCUCCUAUGCUCUGGAGUAUGGGAAGGCUGCGCUGGAAAUCCAGAAAGAUGCCUUAGAACCAGGGCAGAGAGUGGUCAUGGUCAUGUGGAUGAUCUCCUGGCCAUUGGAGGAACCACGUGUGCGGCCUGUGAGCUGCUGAACCAGCUCCGGGCUGGUAAGCCUGGUGGAGCUGACCUCCCUGAAGGGCAGGGAGAGGCUAGGACUUAUACCGUUCUUCUCUCUCCUGCAGUACGACUGA